ensembl:lncRNA
UGGUCUGCAAAAACUACAUCAAUUGGUAUUUCUAAAGGAGAAGAACAUGAAAAAGAAGGAAAGUGACAGUAUCCACUCUUCUGGAAAGGCUUUACUCUAGAUAUUAAACUUUGCUGUGAGGAUUUGAUUGCAUUCAGCCACAAGAAAUUACUGAGGACAGAUCACACCCAAGGCAUUCCAUGUGACAGGUCCUCAGGGCCCUCCAGGUGGUCCCUUUUUGCUGCACCCUUAUGGAAAUUGUGGACUGUCUUGAGGACCAGUUUAAAGACCUCUUUUCUAGGUUAACAGUGAACCAAACUAAACAAUAGCACACUCUUCAGGACACAACCUGAACACACUUGAUUCACGGCAGGUGAGUAAACACUCGGUGAAAAGUCACACAGCAUGAAUGGGCACCUUGUGUUUGUGUAAUUCACUGUCCAACCUUUGCUCCAGAAGUCACGCUUAAACCACUGCACACCUCAGAACCGCCUGCCUCUAUUGGCUGUUCAGUGUCUGAAAUGUGUGCGAUAGUUCAGGUGCAUGACACAUGAACACAGAAAACAUCUGGAUUGGCUGAUUGCGGAUGGGCAGAUCCAGGCCUGUAGUAGCCUGUUUCGUUGUUGUUGAGAUUGCAAAG